rnacentral:rRNA from 1 species
ACGGGAGGCAGCAGUGGGGAAUAUUGCGCAAUGGGGGAAACCCUGACGCAGCGACGCCGCGUGAGUGAAGAAGUAUUUCGGUAUGUAAAGCUCUAUCAGCAGGGAAGAUGAUGACGGUACCUGACUAAGAAGCCCCGGCUAACUACGUGCCAGCAGCCGCGGUAAUACGUAGGGGGCAAGCGUUAUCCGGAUUUACUGGGUGUAAAGGGAGCGUAGACGGCUGUGCAAGUCUGAAGUGAAAUCCGCGGGCUCAACCCGCGAACUGCUUUGGAAACUGUAUAGCUGGAGUGCAGGAGAGGUAAGUGGAAUUCCUAGUGUAGCGGUGAAAUGCGUAGAUAUUAGGAGGAACACCAGUGGCGAAGGCGGCUUACUGGACUGUAACUGACGUUGAGGCUCGAAAGCGUGGGGAGCAAACAGGAUUAGAUACCCUGGUA